GAUGAACGCUGGCGGCGUGCCUAAUACAUGCAAGUCGAACGAACAGACGAGGAGCUUGCUCCUCUGACGUUAGCGGCGGACGGGUGAGUAACACGUGGAUAACCUACCUAUAAGACUGGGAUAACUUCGGGAAACCGGAGCUAAUACCGGAUAAUAUAUUGAACCGCAUGGUUCAAUAGUGAAAGACGGUUUUGCUGUCACUUAUAGAUGGAUCCGCGCCGCAUUAGCUAGUUGGUACGGUAACGGCUUACCAAGGCAACGAUGCGUAGCCGACCUGAGAGGGUGAUCGGCCACACUGGAACUGAGACACGGUCCAGACUCCUACGGGAGGCAGCAGUAGGGAAUCUUCCGCAAUGGGCGAAAGCCUGACGGAGCAGCGCCGCGUGAGUGAUGAAGGUGUUCGGAUCGUAAAACUCUGUUAUUAGGGAAGAACAAAUGUGUAAGUAACUAUGCACGUCUUGACGGUACCUAGUCAGAAAGCCACGGCUAACUACGUG
rnacentral:rRNA from 1 species